AGAGCCUACCGCAAAAAUGCGGCCCAUCAUGAAAAGUGGGCUAAAUGGUGGCACUACACUGGUACUGGGCCAGAUAUAUGUGGCUAGUGGGCUGGUUCUUCAUGAUUAGAUUCGAACCAAGUUCAUCAAUCGCCACAUUUAAUUUUUGCCUUACCAUUCAUGUAUCCAAUUUUUUUUAAUAAUCUCGGCCUAUGAGGAUCUGUUUUUUGCAAAGAUGUUAUGCUAAUUUACUUACGUAGCUCUUGUAGCU
rnacentral:lncRNA from 1 species